AUGAACGCUGACAGAAUGCUUAACACAUGCAAGUCAACUUGAACUUCGGUUUGGGUGGCGGACGGGUGAGUAACGCGUAAAGAACUUGCCUCACAGCUAGGGACAACAUUUGGAAACGAAUGCUAAUACCUGAUAUUAUGAUUAUAUGGCAUCGUAUAAUUAUGAAAGCUAUAUGCGCUGUGAGAGAGCUUUGCGUCCCAUUAGCUAGUUGGAGAGGUAACAGCUCACCAAGGCGAUGAUGGGUAGCCGGCCUGAGAGGGUGAUCGGCCACAAGGGGACUGAGACACGGCCCUUACUCCUACGGGAGGCAGCAGUGGGGAAUAGUGGACAAUGGACCGAGAGUCUGAUCCAGCAAUUCUGUGUGCACGAUGAAGUUUUUCGGAAGGUAAAGUGCUUUCAGUUGGGAAGAAAAAAAUGACGGUACCAACAGAAGAAGUGACGGCGAAAUACGU
rnacentral:rRNA from 1 species